rnacentral:SRP_RNA from 1 species
GUCGAGCUCAGUAGUGUCAGUUUGUAACCCAAACGGGGGCAAUAAAGUGGUGGGAGGUUGAUCCAUCUUAUUGACCAGGAUAUUACAUAAAUAGUUUACGACCUACCAAUUCCAAGUUGCUGAGCCUAUAUUUAGUUGAAUGAGUAAACCAAAAUAGUAUCGGAAGAUUUAAACCAACCAUCUCUUUU